UACUUCUAAUUCUCUUAACAUGCACACUGUCCACAUCACCUUCAUGCCACAUAAGUUUCACGGCCCACCAGGAUCACCACAGUGCCAUGUCAGCAUUUUCUUCUUCCAAUUAACAUACCAGCCCAAAAGGUUCAUUAUCUAUUAGAAGACGAACGACCUCGCUCUCCCCCGCUAAUCGCUAUCCGCAUCCCUGUCUCUUCCCAUUCUCUCGCCCCUCCACUUGAUCUUCUUCAACACGAUGCUCCCCUGUUUCCGUAGCCCACCCAACCAUGGAGUACAUCCUCACCGUGUAGGAUCGAAGCAAUAUCAUGCUUGCUGUCUGCCGUCGUUCAAGAUCCAAGCAGCAGCCCCGCCGAGAAGGUUGUUCUAGCCGUCCUCCGCCCGGCCGGAUCACGGCCGCUACACAACAGUCCCCAUCUGCCGCCGCACCUAAUGGGUUCCAGACCCGCUCAAGAGCUUAAUCGCUACUGCCUGCUGGGACGGACUCUCUCUCUCUCUCUCUCCGUCCCUCUCUCUCUCUCUCUCUUAGUCUAUUUGUGUGCGGUGGCUUCCAUGUAGCUGUUUAUGUUCUGUAUAUACACCAGCUUGAAUUUUUUGGUGUAAAUCAGGAUCUUCAAUUAUGUCUGAUGAGUAUUACUAGUUUAUCAUCUUUUAAAUGUCACCAGCGCCUCAAUUUGGGAAAUGCUUUCCAUCUCCUGUUAUGCACCGACCCCUCCGGUUAUACUGAGUGCAUCCUCUACAACAAUUCUUCACUAUCAUGCUCCGCUGUUACGACCAGUAUUACAGACUUUUAUCAUGUUUUAAAUGUCACCGGUGCCUCAAUUUGGGAAAUGAUUUGCAUCGGCCCCUCCAGGCUAUAGUGAGUGCAGCCACUACAACCAUUCUUCACUAUCAUGCUCUGCUUUUACGACCAAUUAUCCCUCAGGUUGCUUUCCUGACCAUGCUUUGCUUCCAUUCAGUAUGGUCGAUUUGUGGAACCUCCAAAGACAGUAUGUUAUAAAAUGGUACAUCAUUUUUAUUUUCAUGUUUUUACCAGUUAUUUUUAUUUUCAUGUGUGGUGAUUCUCAGUCAUGUAGGUGAGUAAUAAAGAACGAAAUACCAAUGUGUUUGGAUAAGUACUAGUCCGUCCUUUUCCUUAUAUCAAUGCACUUCACAGUGUCUGCCAACAUGAAGGUUAGUAUUUGUUUUCUUUACAUUUCAUUGUGCAUAUAACCUGUAGUACUAGAGCUUUUCUAGCUUCUCAUGUUGCUACAGUUCCUGAAGUUUUGGACUCAAAAUUUUUGCAAUUUGUUCUUUCUGAAUAUGCUUGCAGUGACGACUAUGUACUGAAAAUGGAAACCUGGUCUACGACAGUGUUUUACAGAACAUUUUAAUUAAAUAUUAUGGCAUCACCAUUUGCUGUUUUGCAGAUCUCCACAUUGGAUUUAGUAACUAUUUCUCUGCAUCAUUCAUUUCAGUUGGGGGUCUAAAUGGUACAUGCAAACAAUAUCAAUAAUUUCUUGCAUAUUGCCUUUUUUGUGGAAAUACAUGUUCCCUUUUGUUUUGGAAAUGAUAAAUUAUUUUUGUUUGAAAUAACGCUUGAUGUUCUUUGCGUACAAAAGGAAAUUAUCAAUUGUAAAGAGCUACAAGUGAAUGCUUAUAUCAGAUUUUAUAAGGGUUCUUUCAUCUAAGGUUGGAACAUGAAAUGUCAUGUAAGCUUUAUUUUGAAGACAAUUAUUUUAAGUGGCAUUAUUUAUUUAUAC